rnacentral:misc_RNA from 1 species
UUUCCGUAGGUGAACCUGCGGAAGGAUCAUUACCGAGCUCCUGCCCUUCGGGGAAGAGACGCCACCCUUGCGCCCCCGUCAGUUGUUGCUUUGGCGGGCCCGCCCGCAAAAGACCCCAAACCCUGAGUGUUAGUGUCGUCGGUGUACUAUAAAAUAGUUAAAACUUUCAACAACGGAUCUCUUGGUUCUG